UUAAGUAAAGGAUAUUCUUGAAACCUUUCAGAUUCUCUUGUGAAACAGCAAAGAGCCAUCGAAAAUGCGUGGCUUUCCUUCAUAUUUUCAUGCCAAAUCCCUACAUUCCAGCUAUGGGAAACAAUCAUUUUCAUCCAUGGAAAAAUCCAAUGUAAGAUGUUAAAUAAGCUUAAUAUAAAUUAAUAAGAAGCCUAUUUAGUUGAAUUAACCAAAGCCUCAAUGGUUAUCCAGGUUUUAAAGACAUUUUGUUAUAAGCCGGUUGUAGAAAGUAAAUUUGUUUGAGAAUUUUUGACCACACAAAAAGACACUUUUACAAAAGAAAAAACUUUAUUGUAAUGACUCUAAAAUCAGUUUAGAGAUGAAAAAAAGUAAAACGUACUUAUAUGUUCACUGCAGCGAAAAAAGGUCUGGAGAAAAAUAAUUAAAUCAUCCUUCAAAGAGAAACCAGAGAAAGGAGACAACAACCAGAGAAAGGAAUAAGUUUUACAUCCAGAAAAAAAUUAAUUGCAUCUUUUCUCUUUUGAAAUUACGCUUCCUUCCUCGUCUAAGUACUGAUAGAUCAACGAACACUUUUGACAAAUUUAUGUGAUGCAGCAGAAAAAUGAAUGAUGCAUCGCAGGAAAGUGAAUGAUUUGUUCCUGGAAGCGCUUUACGCCUCUUUCUAAUUGAAUUGACUGUUGACGAAAUUUAGAGUUCUUCGCUCCUUGAAAAAGAAACAUCUAAGAUUUUUUGAAGCAGUGGGAAAGGAAAAAGUGAAUAAAAAUGAGAAGAAAUGAACUCAAAAAACUUUGCUAUAGUAAUAAUGAUUAGAUGUUUGCGAUUCUUUUUUAAUUUAUUUAUUUUUUAUUUCAUUUUUUUUACUUUUGGAUUAUUCAACAAAAACAUGCAGAGUGUAGCCAAUGAAGAGUAAAUCGAGUGUGCUGGAUAUAUUUCCAGUUGUGAAGUUACUGUUGCGAGCUUUCAAUUGUUAGCGAAGUUAAAUCAAAUCCAUGACAUGAGCAACUCUUAGCAUAUCAAAUGCGUGGAGCGAGUCCACAAAGAGAUCAUCUCUAGAAAAACCAAGGCAGUCGAGGAUAUGGUCACGUGUAACCUCACAGGCAGAUUUAUUUUACUAUUGGCAAUCGAAAUGGGCUACUGAUGAUGUAGAGAAGAACUUUCUACCUAUGGCAACACUUCGCAUGCUUUCACCAUUAGCAGUUGGAGAGUCAUAGAAG